UGAGGAAUAUUGGGCAAUGGACGCAAGUCUGACCCAGCCAUGCCGCGUGCAGGAUGAACGUUCUAUGAAUCGUAAACUGCUUUUCUACGGGGCUAAAAAUCUCUACGUGUAGGGAUCUGAAGGUACUGUAGGAAUAAGCAUCGGCUAACUCCGUGCCAGCAGCCGCGGUAAUACGGAGGAUGCAGGCGUUAUCCGGAUUUAUUAGGUUUAAAGGGUGCGUAGGCGGGAAAAUAAGUCAGUGGUGAAAUCCUACAGCUUAACUGUAGAACUGCCAUUGAAACUGUUAUCCUUGAAUGUGGUUGAGGUGGGCGGAAUGUGUAAUGUAGCGGUGAAAUGCAUAGAUAUUACACAGAACACCGAUUGCGAAGGCAGCUCACUAAGCCAUGAUUGACGCUGAGGCACGAAAGCGUGGGGAGCAAACAGG
rnacentral:rRNA from 1 species